rnacentral:tRNA from 1 species
GCCUGGUUGGCUCAGUUGGUAGAGCACGUGACUCCUGAUCUCGCGAUCGUGAGUUCACGCCCCAUGUUGGGCA